rnacentral:rRNA from 1 species
CCUACGGGAGGCAGCAGUGAGGAAUAUUGGUCAAUGGACGAGAGUCUGAACCAGCCAAGUAGCGUGAAGGAUGACUGCCCUAUGGGUUGUAAACUUCUUUUAUAUGGGAAUAAAACGUUCCACGUGUGGGAUUUUGUAUGUACCAUAUGAAUAAGGAUCGGCUAACUCCGUGCCAGCAGCCGCGGUAAUACGGAGGUUCCGAGCGUUAUCCGGAUUUAUUGGGUUUAAAGGGAGCGUAGGUGGAUUGUUAAGUCAGUUGUGAAAGUUUGCGGCUCAACCGUAAAAUUGCAGUUGAAACUGGCAGUCUUGAGUACAGUAGAGGUGGGCGGAAUUCGUGGUGUAGCGGUGAAAUGCUUAGAUAUCACGAAGAACUCCGAUUGCGAAGGCAGUUCACUGGACUGCAACUGACACUGAGGCUCGAAAGUGUGGGUAUCAAACAGGAUUAGAUACCCCAGUAGUC